AUUCUACUCCCUCCGUUGCACAAUACAUGCCUUCUAUUUGUCAAAAUAUAUAUGUAUCUAGACAUGUUUUAGUAUAUAGGUACAUCCAUUUUUGGACAAAUGAAGUCAAGUAUUUUGGAAUGAAGGGAGUACACA
rnacentral:pre_miRNA from 1 species